rnacentral:rRNA from 1 species
AUGGAGGCGUUGCUUGCAGAGCUCCCCGCUGGGGGUGUGGGCGCGCUGGCUGCCACCGCCGUGGCUGUCGGCCUGCUGGCCGUGGCCGUCGCGCUCGCCGCUAAGGUUGACGUUGGGAUGGGGCGCAAGAACCGCACCAACGCCCCCCCAGUGGUUCCUGGUUUGCCGAUUAUUGGAAAUCUACAUCAACUAAAAGAAAAGAAGCCCCAUAAGACUUUUGCAAAAUGGUCUGAUAUUUAUGGGCCAAUAUAUACAAUAAGGACAGGGGCAUCUUCGAUAGUUGUGCUCAACUCAACAGAGGUAGCCAAGGAGGCAAUGAUUGAAAAAUUCUUCUGCAUAUCUACUCGAAAGCUAUCUAAAGCGUUGUCUGUGCUCACUCGUGGUAAAACCAUGGUUGCUACCAGUGACUACGGGGAGUUCCACAAAACGGUGAAGCGUCAUGUUAUGGCGGCCGUGUUGGGUUCUUCUGCUCAGAGAAAAUUCCGGAACACAAGGGACAUGAUGAUGGAUAACAUGCUGAGCAGUUUUCAUACGUUGGUGAGUGGUGACCCACAUGCUCCUCUGAACUUCAGAGAGGUCUUCAAGGUCGAGCUAUUCCGCUUGUCCUUGAUACAGAGUUUGGGUGAGGAUGUGGGUUCGGUUUACGUGAAGGAGUUUGGAAGGGAGAUAUCCAAGGAUGAAAUCUACCAGAUCACCGUGGUCGACCUGAUGAUGUGUGCAAUCGAUGUCGAUUGGAGGGAUUUCUUCCCAUACCUCAGCUGGAUUCCGAACAAGAGCUUCGAAACAAGAGUUCUUACCACAGAAUCUAGGCGAACGGCGGUGAUGCAGGCGCUGAUCCAUCAACAGAAGAAACGAAUUGCGCGCGGCGAGGCAAAGGUGUCCUAUCUGGACAGCUUGCUGGCAGAGAACACGCUGACAGACGAACAGUUGACGAUGCUGGUGUGGGAGGAGGUCAUAGAGGCUGCAGAUACCACGUUGGUCACUACCGAGUGGGCUAUGUAUGAGCUUGCCAAGAACCCAGAUAAACAGGAUCGUCUCUUCCGGGAGAUCCAAGAUGUCUGCGGCGACGAGAUGGUCACCGAGGACCAUCUGCCGCGGCUGCCGUACCUGAACGCGGUGUUCCACGAGACGCUGCGGCGCCAUUCUCCUGUUGCACUGAUACCUCCGAGGUUCGUCCAUGAGGCCACCAAACUGGCCGGCUACGACAUCCCAGCCGGCACUGAGAUCAUCAUCAACCUGCACGGAUGUAACAUGAACAAGAACGAUUGGGAGGAGCCCGAGGAGUGGAGGCCGGAGAGGUUCCUGGACGGGAGGUUCGAGGCGGCGGACAUGUACAAGACCAUGGCGUUCGGCGUCGGGAGGAGGGUCUGCGCCGGAAGCCAGCAGGCGACGACCAUCUCGUGCGCCGCCAUAGCGCGGUUCGUGCAGGAGUUCUCCUGGAGGCUCAGGGAGGGCGACGAGGAGAAGGUGGACACCGUGCAGCUCACCAGCUACAAGCUCCAUCCGCUCCACGUGCAUCUCUCGCCGAGAGGGAGGAAGUGA